GCUSCUACCGAUUGRAUGDYCCGGUGAAAUUUUCGGACUGUUGUGCAGGGGUGGCUUGCCGCCGCUGCGCGAUGGGAAGUUACUUAAACCUUAUUAUCUAGAGGAAGCAAAAGUCGUAACAAGGUUUCCGUAGGUGAACCUGCGGAAGGAUCAUUA
rnacentral:rRNA from 1 species